rnacentral:rRNA from 1 species
GGUUAAGCGACUAAGCGUACACGGUGGAUGCCCUGGCAGUCAGAGGCGAUGAAGGACGUGCUAAUCUGCGAUAAGCGUCGGUAAGGUGAUAUGAACCGUUAUAACCGGCGAUUUCCGAAUGGGGAAACCCAGUGUGUUUCGACACACUAUCAUUAACUGAAUCCAUAGGUUAAUGAGGCGAACCGGGGGAACUGAAACAUCUAAGUACCCCGAGGAAAAGAAAUCAACCGAGAUUCCCCCAGUAGCGGCGAGCGAACGGGGAGCAGCCCAGAGCCUGAAUCAGUGUGUGUGUUAGUGGAAGCGUCUGGAAAGGCGCGCGAUACAGGGUGACAGCCCCGUACACAAAAAUGCACAUGCUGUGAGCUCGAUGAGUAGGGCGGGACACGUGGUAUCCUGUCUGAAUAUGGGGGGACCAUCCUCCAAGGCUAAAUACUCCUGACUGACCGAUAGUGAACCAGUACCGUGAGGGAAAGGCGAAAAGAACCCCGGCGAGGGGAGUGAAAAAGAACCUGAAACCGUGUACGUACAAGCAGUGGGAGCACAGAGCAAUCUGUGUGACUGCGUACCUUUUGUAUAAUGGGUCAGCGACUUAUAUUCUGUAGCAAGGUUAACCGAAUAGGGGAGCCGAAGGGAAACCGAGUCUUAACUGGGCGUUAAGUUGCAGGGUAUAGACCCGAAACCCGGUGAUCUAGCCAUGGGCAGGUUGAAGGUUGGGUAACACUAACUGGAGGACCGAACCGACUAAUGUUGAAAAAUUAGCGGAUGACUUGUGGCUGGGGGUGAAAGGCCAAUCAAACCGGGAGAUAGCUGGUUCUCCCCGAAAGCUAUUUAGGUAGCGCCUCGUGAAUUCAUCUCCGGGGGUAGAGCACUGUUUCGGCAAGGGGGUCAUCCCGACUUACCAACCCGAUGCAAACUGCGAAUACCGGAGAAUGUUAUCACGGGAGACACACGGCGGGUGCUAACGUCCGUCGUGAAGAGGGAAACAACCCAGACCGCCAGCUAAGGUCCCAAAGUCAUGGUUAAGUGGGAAACGAUGUGGGAAGGCCCAGACAGCCAGGAUGUUGGCUUAGAAGCAGCCAUCAUUUAAAGAAAGCGUAAUAGCUCACUGGUCGAGUCGGCCUGCGCGGAAGAUGUAACGGGGCUAAACCAUGCACCGAAGCUGCGGCAGCGACGCUUAUGCGUUGUUGGGUAGGGGAGCGUUCUGUAAGCCUGCGAAGGUGUGCUGUGAGGCAUGCUGGAGGUAUCAGAAGUGCGAAUGCUGACAUAAGUAACGAUAAAGCGGGUGAAAAGCCCGCUCGCCGGAAGACCAAGGGUUCCUGUCCAACGUUAAUCGGGGCAGGGUGAGUCGACCCCUAAGGCGAGGCCGAAAGGCGUAGUCGAUGGGAAACAGGUUAAUAUUCCUGUACUUGGUGUUACUGCGAAGGGGGGACGGAGAAGGCUAUGUUGGCCGGGCGACGGUUGUCCCGGUUUAAGCGUGUAGGCUGGUUUUCCAGGCAAAUCCGGAAAACUAAGCUGAGCGUGAUGACGAGGCACUACGGUGCUGAAGCAACAAAUGCCCUGCUUCCAGGAAAGCUCUAAGCAUCAGUAACAUCAAAUCGUACCCAAACCGACACAGUGGUCAGGUAGAGAAUACAAGGCGCUUGAGAGAACUCGGGUGAAGGAACUAGGCAAAAUGGUGCCGUAACUUCGGGAGAAGGCACGCUGAUAUGUAGGUGAAGUCCCUCGCGGAUGGAGCUGAAAUCAGUCGAAGAUACCAGCUGGCUGCAACUGUUUAUUAAAAACACAGCACUGUGCAAACACGAAAGUGGACGUAUACGGUGUGACGCCUGCCCGGUGCCGGAAGGUUAAUUGAUGGGGUUAGCGGUAACGCGAAGCUCUUGAUCGAAGCCCCGGUAAACGGCGGCCGUAACUAUAACGGUCCUAAGGUAGCGAAAUUCCUUGUCGGGUAAGUUCCGACCUGCACGAAUGGCGUAAUGAUGGCCAGGCUGUCUCCACCCGAGACUCAGUGAAAUUGAACUCGCUGUGAAGAUGCAGUGUACCCGCGGCAAGACGGAAAGACCCCGUGAACCUUUACUAUAGCUUGACACUGAACAUUGAGCCUUGAUGUGUAGGAUAGGUGGGAGGCUUUGAAGUGUGGACGCCAGUCUGCAUGGAGCCGGCCUUGAAAUACCACCCUUUAAUGUUUGAUGUUCUAACGUUGGCCCCUGAUCGGGGUUGCGGACAGUGUCUGGUGGGUAGUUUGACUGGGGCGGUCUCCUCCUAAAGAGUAACGGAGGAGCACGAAGGUUGGCUAAUCCUGGUCGGACAUCAGGAGGUUAGUGCAAUGGCAUAAGCCAGCUUGACUGCGAGCGUGACGGCGCGAGCAGGUGCGAAAGCAGGUCAUAGUGAUCCGGUGGUUCUGAAUGGAAGGGCCAUCGCUCAACGGAUAAAAGGUACUCCGGGGAUAACAGGCUGAUACCGCCCAAGAGUUCAUAUCGACGGCGGUGUUUGGCACCUCGAUGUCGGCUCAUCACAUCCUGGGGCUGAAGUAGGUCCCAAGGGUAUGGCUGUUCGCCAUUUAAAGUGGUACGCGAGCUGGGUUUAGAACGUCGUGAGACAGUUCGGUCCCUAUCUGCCGUGGGCGCUGGAGAACUGAGGGGGGCUGCUCCUAGUACGAGAGGACCGGAGUGGACGCAUCACUGGUGUUCGGGUUGUCAUGCCAAUGGCACUGCCCGGUAGCUAAAUGCGGAAGAGAUAAGUGCUGAAAGCAUCUAAGCACGAAACUUGCCCCGAGAUGAGUUCUCCCUGACUCCUUGAGAGUCCUGAAGGAACGUUGAAGACGACGACGUUGAUAGGCCGGGUGUGUAAGCGCAGCGAUGCGUUGAGCUAACCGGUACUAAUGAACCGUGAGGCUUAACCUU